rnacentral:rRNA from 1 species
GGGCGUUAGCCUGAUCCGCCAUGCCUGUGAUUGACAACGCCUUCGGGUUGUAAAGCUCUUUCGGUGGGGAAGAAAUUGCACGGGCGAAUACCCUGUGUAUAUGACGGUACCCGACUAAGAAGCACCGGCUAACUACGUGCCACCACCCGCGGUAAUACUUAGGGUGAGAGCGUUAAUCGGAAUUACUGGGCGUAAAGCGUGCGCAGGCGGUUUGGUCAGUCAGAUGUGAAAGCCCCGGGCUCAACCUGGGAACUGCAUUUGAGACUGCCAGGCUGGAGUUUGGCAGAGGG